rnacentral:rRNA from 1 species
CUCAGGGCCCGAGUUGUAAUUUGUAGAGGAUGCUUUUGGCGAGGUGCCUUCCGAGUAUGGUCGGACACCGAGCCUCUGUAAAGCUCCUUCGAC